rnacentral:tRNA from 1 species
UGCACCUCAGUGGUAGAGUGCUUGUCUAACAUGCACAAGACCCUGGGUUUGAUUCCCAGCACUGCAA